AACGAACGCUGGCGGCGUGCCUAACACAUGCAAGUCGAGCGCGAAAGUCCCUUCGGGGGCGAGUAGAGCGGCGGACGGGUGAGUAAUACAUAGGUAAUCUACCUUCGAGCUUGGGAUAACCCCGCGAAAGUGGGGCUAAUACCGGAUAAGACCACGUAAUUAUUUUACGGGGUAAAAGGUGGCUUAUUUUUAAAUGAGCUAUCACUUGAGGAUGAGCCUGUGGCCUAUCAGCUAGUUGGCGGGGUAAGAGCCCACCAAGGCUAUGACGGGUAGCUGGUCUGAGAGGACGACCAGCCACACUGGGACUGAGACACGGCCCAGACUCCUACGGGAGGCAG
rnacentral:rRNA from 1 species